UACGGGGGGGGGCAAGCGUUGUUCGGAAUUACUGGGCGUAAAGGGCUCGUAGGUGGUUUGUCGCGUUGUUCGUGAAAACUCACAGCUUAACUGUGGGCGUGCGGGCGAUACGGGCAGACUGGAGUACUGCAGGGGAGACUGGAAUUCCUGGUGUAGCGGUGGAAUGCGCAGAUAUCAGGAGGAACACCGGUGGCGAAGGCGGGUCUCUGGGCAACUACUGACGCUGAGGAGCGAAAGCGUGGGGAGCGAACAGG
rnacentral:rRNA from 1 species